GGAGGGUGCAAGCGUUGUUCGGAAUUACUGGGCGUAAAGAGCGUGUAGGCGGUUUGGCAAGUCAGAUGUGAAAGCCCUGGGCUCAACCCAGGAAGUGCAUUUGAAACUGCCAUUCUAGAGUAUGGGAGAGGAGAGUGGAAUUCCCGGUGUAGAGGUGAAAUUCGUAGAUAUUGGGAGGAACACCCGUGGCGAAGGCGACUCUCUGGACCAAUACUGACGCUGAGACGCGAAAGCGUGGGGAGCAAACAGGGAUUAGAUACCCUGGUAGUCCACGCCGUAAACGAUGAGAACUAGGUGUAGCGGGUAUUGACCCCCCUGCUGUGCCGUAGCUAACGCAUUAAGUUCUCCGCCUGGGGAUACGGUCGCAAGGCUA
rnacentral:rRNA from 1 species